AGAGCGAACGCUGGCGGCAGGCCUAACACAUGCAAGUCGAACGGACUCUUCGGAGUUAGUGGCGGACGGGUGAGUAACACGUGGGAACGUGCCUUUAGGUUCGGAAUAGCUCCUGGAAACGGGUGGUAAUGCCGAAUGUGCCCUUCGGGGGAAAGAUUUAUCGCCUUUAGAGCGGCCCGCGUCUGAUUAGCUAGUUGGUGAGGUAAAGGCUCACCAAGGCUACGAUCAGUAGUUGGUCUGAGAGGAUGACCAGCCACAUUGGGACUGAGACACGGCCCAAACUCCUACGGGAGGCAGCAGGUGGGAAUCUUGCGCAAGUGGGCGAAAGCCUGACGCAGCCAUGCCGCGUGAAUGGAUGGAAGGUCGUUAGGUAAUUAGUAAAAUUUCUUUACAGUAAGGGACGAAUAAGUGAACGUACCUAACGAAGAAAGAACGACCCCGGACUAACGUCGU
rnacentral:rRNA from 1 species